GCCAUCAGUGCAAAAUUAGGAUCCCCAUUGUCUGAGGCCAUUCCUGGGUUUCCUGCGUUCACUGGAUGUGAUUACUGCCCCGCAUUUUCUCGUAAAGGAAAGGUCGGACCUUUAAGAAUCCUUGAGAGUAGCGUCUCACCCAACGCGCGUUUGCUACUUUUGGUAGCCACGAAACGCUACCGCAAUGGAAUAAUGCGACAGAUUUGCAACCAAAGAUUUUCCCUCCCGAACAAAAUGGAUGGAAUAUCGAAGACGAAAAAUAUUCCAUUAAUUGGUUCGAUGGACCCAUGACACCGCCAACCAUAGAAGAAAUUCUAGCUUGCAAAGAAGAAGUCGGUGCUACAUCUCUAGAAGAAGAAGAAGAGGAAGCGGAAGAAAGUGGUAACGAGUGCUUGCAAGAUGAAUCCGAUUCUUCAAUUGAUGAAGAUUAGAUUUUUUAAAAUAUUACAGCUGUAUCACUGCUUAUUGUGUUCUUUAAAUUAAAAUAAAUAUUCCAGAUUGA